rnacentral:rRNA from 1 species
GUCUUGUAAUUGGAAUGAUGGUGACCUAAACCCUCACCAGAGUAACAAUUGGAGGGCAAGUCUGGUGCCAGCAGCCGCGGUAAUUCCAGCUCCAAUAGCGUAUAUUAAACUUGUUGCAGUUAAAAAGCUCGUAGUUGAAUUUCUGCGUUAUCGAGUUAUUGACUCUUGUCUUUAAUCGAUUUCGCUUUUGGGAUUUAUCCCUUUUUACUUUGAGAAAAUUAGAGUGUUUCAAGCAGACUUUUGUCUUGAAUACUUCAGCAUGGAAUAAUAGAGUAGGACUUUGGUUCUAUUUUGUUGGUUUUUGAACCUUAGUAAUGGUUAAUAGGAACGGUUGGGGGCAUUCGUAUUUAACUGUCAGAGGUGAAAUUCUUAGAUUUGUUAAAGACGAACUACUGCGAAAGCAUUUGCCAAGGACGUUUCCAUUAAUCAAGAACGAAAGUUAGGGAUCGAAGACGAUCAGAUACCGUCGUAGUCCUAACCAUAAACUA